UGGAGGGUUUGAUCCUGGCUCAGGGUGAACGCUGGCGGCGUGCUUAACACAUGCAAGUCGCGCGGGGAAACCCCUUCGGGGGGAGUACCAGCGGCGCACGGGUGAGUAACACGUGGGUAACCUACCCCUCAGCGGGGGAUAACCGGGGGAAACUCCGGCUAAUACCCCAUAUUAUCCGGUGACGACAGUUGCUGGAUGAAAGGAGCGUUUGCUUCGUUGAGGGAUGGGCCCGCGGCCCAUCAGGUAGUUGGUGAGGUAAUGGCUCACCAAGCCUAC
rnacentral:rRNA from 1 species